UACAGAGGGGGCAAGCGUUGUUCGGAAUUACUGGGCGUAAAGGGCGCGUAGGCGGCCGCCUAAGUCAGACGUGAAAUCCCUCGGCUCAACCGGGGGAACUGCAUCCGAUACUGGAUGGCUUGAAUCCGGGAGAGGGAUGCAGAAUUCCAGGUGUAGCGGUGAAAUGCGCAGAUAUCGGGAGGAACACCGGUGGCGAAGGCGGCGACCUGGGUAGAUACUGACGCUGAGGCGCGAAAGCGUGGGGAGCAAACAGG
rnacentral:rRNA from 1 species